ACCUUGGAUGAUGGCGGGAACAAAGACAACUCCAAAUAAUACAAAUAUCUUUAAAGAAAGCAUGGUAUGAAAAUUUUUCAGACGCAUAUAUCAGAUUUUGCGUUGUAACUCGUAGCAGCGCUGAUACGGGAUGUUUUUGACAUUACCGAUGCAAACAGUUUAUGUAAUAUGAUAUAUUGGCCUUCUUGUGGCUCACAGGAGAAUAAUACUUCCGCAUACUGAUUAAAGUAUUGUUCUCUGUAAGACCACGCUUUUCGAAAAAUAAUGUACUACAUAUGGUACCAUGUUCCUGACCCUGACUGGAAAGUUUG